rnacentral:rRNA from 1 species
UACGGGGGGGGCAAGCGUUGUUCGGAAUUACUGGGCGUAAAGGGUUUGUAGGUGGCCAACUAAGUCAGACGUGAAAUCCCUCAGCUUAACUGGGGAACUGCGUCUGAUACUGGUUGGCUUGAGUGCAGGAGAGGAACGCGGAAUUCCAGGUGUAGCGGUGAAAUGCGUAGAUAUCUGGAGGAACACCGGUGGCGAAGGCGGCGUUCUGGACUGCAACUGGCACUGAGAAACGAAAGCCAGGGUAGCAAACGGG